GGUGCUGUGGUGUAGUUGGUUAUCACGUCAGUCUUACACACUGAAGGUCCCCAGUUCGAACCUGGGCAGCACCA